CUCGUAGGCGGCCAACUAAGUCGGAUGUGAAAUCCCCAGGCUUAACCUGGGAACUGCAUCCGAUACUGGAUGGCUUGAAUCCGGGAGAGGGAUGCAGAAUUCCAGGUGUAGCGGUGAAAUGCGUAGAUAUCUGGAGGAAUACCGGUGGCGAAGGCGGCAUCCUGGACCGGCAUUGACGCUGAUGAGCGAAAGCUAGGGGAGCAAACG
rnacentral:rRNA from 1 species